rnacentral:tRNA from 1 species
UUAUAAAGUAAGCUAAAAAAGCUAGUGGGUUCAUACCCCAAAUAUGGUGUAUACCCUUUAUUAA